rnacentral:rRNA from 1 species
GAUGAACGCUGGCGGCGUGCUUAACACAUGCAAGUCGAACGGAAAGGCUCCUGCUUGCUGGGGUCCUCGAGUGGCGAACGGGCGCGUAACACGUGGGCGAUCUGCCCUGCACUUCGGGAUAAGCAUGGGAAACUGGGUCUAAUACCGGUUAGGACGAUGGUUUGGAUGCCAUUGUGGAAAGUUUUUUCGGUGUGGGAUGAGCUCGCGGCCUAUCCGCUUGUUGGUGAAGUAAUGGCCUACCAAGGCGUCGACGGGUAGCCGGCCUGAGAGGGUGUACGGCCACAUUGGGAAAGUGAUACGGCCCAGACUACUGCGGGAGGCAGCAGUGUGGAAUAGUGCACGAUGGAGGCAAGUAGGAUGCAGCGACGCCGCGUGGGGGAUGGUGGCCUUCGGUUAUUAAACUCCUUUCGCUAGGAACGAAGCGCAAGUGACGGUACCUGAAGAAGAAGCACCGGCUAACUACGUG